GUCUUGGCUGAGAAAAGAAGAAAGAAAUAUCCAAGGGUGAAGGAAUUAGAAACUACAACCUAUUCCCAUGGCCUCACAACCAUGAGCAGAUGGCGAGGCUUCAUGUGCCCUGGGAUGAGCCAAUGAGGAGUGGACAGUGCACGUUCAUGUGUGCAUUUCUUAUUAAAAAUGAUAUAUGUUGCAUAUUAAACAUUGGUGAAUAGCUCUUCUUGCUCUGUUGCAAUUCCCUUCUGGAGCUCCAUCUGACCCUGUAGCCUGACUCCAGCAGCCUAGG